AUGAUGUUUCUGAUAUAGGGGAGAAGUCUUCCUUACAAUGUCUUCGGCCACAUAAGAGAAUGAAAACCAGUAGCCCCAAUUCCAAAGUGGUUGGGAAGAAGAAACAGCAUUUCUUGUCUUCCAUUGAAAAAGCUGGAGCUGUUGAAAUAGCUGUUUGCGGUUUUAAAUCUUUUAUACCCAAGAAGUUUGCUAAGAGAUACACAAAUAAGAAGGAAGGUGUUUUUACCCUUUGGAUUUCUGAAGGUAGAACUUGGUCUGUUCGGUAUAAAACCAGGAUCAAAUCUGAUAGUGGACAAGAAAUUACUGAAAUAAGUGAUAGAGGUGGUUGGAAUGCAUUUGCACGCGACAAUAAUUUGGAAGUAAUUGAUGUUUGUAUCUUCGAGCUAAUCACUAGUGGAAAUGACAUUUCAGAUUUUCGAGUUUCUAUCAUCCGACGCCAUGAUCACAUCUCCCCUGUUUAGUGAGACGUUAUACAAUUUGCUAAAAUGUUACUUUAUUUUACAGUAUAAUAAUGAAUAUAUAUCCAUGAGUAUUUGUGUUUUAAGAAGUUGUGUUUCAGAUGGCAAAAUUGGAUCUGCCUGCAUGGUUCAAGUGGACCAUAAGUCAUGAUGAGGAUCAAUUAUUAUAUUUGUAUAUGCUUCAAUUAUAUAAUUCCUAGGAACAUGACCCUUUGUUGAUUUAAUGCAGGAGAGUUACAUGCGAAGAGCAACGCAACCAAUAUCAUUAAGGGGAAACAAAAUAUUAUUGGCAGUGAAAGAGAUAGAAGAGCUAAUGCAAGAGCUGUUAGCGGUUUUAAGUCCGAAAAUCGUUUCUUCUCAAAAGUAAUGCAACCAUUAUAUAUCCAUGGCAAUGAACAUACCAAACAAGUUGGUGCCGUGGCAUAUAAAUAAGAGAGAAGCUGAUUUCAACCUUCGGGUUCCAAAUGGCAGAUGUUGGUCUGUCCGGUACAAAGCAGCAAAGAGGAUUGGAACAUUAAAUGACUGUGACUGGAAAGUGUUCGCACGUCACAAUAAGUUGGAAGUAAGCGACAUUUGCAUCUUCAAGCUGAUUACCAGCGAGAAUGACAUUUCACAUUUUCAAGUUUCAUUCGUCCGACAUUCUGGCUAACUGCCCUUGGUUAAGUUAGAGAGAAUUAGCUUCAGAAAACAACCUUUUGUAUUUAGUAUACAAGAGAAAAGCAGUGGUGGAAGGCCUUCAUCUUCAGAAGUAGAUAUUGGCAGUGAAGAUCCCUCGUUUGACGUGUGGAGCAAGCAUAUCAUUUUGACCAUGGAACUGUGGCUAUACCAGUGAGUACUGAAAGGAGUUAUUUAGAAAAGAGGACCCAAAAUAUGAAGCUGAUGGUGGGGGAGAGAUAAUGUUGGGAAUUGAGGUUGAUAAUUAGUGGAGGCAGAUUAGUUUUGUCGAAAGGAUGGAGUGUAUUUGCGAGGGACGACUGCGUGAGAGUCGGAGACGUUUGCAGGUUUGAGAAAGUUGAAGACAACCCACUCGUCUUCAAUUUUUCUAUACUACAAGAGCAUUAUAAAUUUUGAUCAUUUUGGGAGUCUAGUCUCUUUGGUCUUUUCCUUUUUUUAUUUUUAUUUAACUGUCUAAAGAAUUAAGGAUAAGCAAUAAGUCUAGCUAGCUAGAAAUUUCUUUUUGUGGUACUGGUAGAUUAAUUUCAUAUUCACGUUUUGUAUCAAUGAUUUAAUGGUGGACUUUUCACCUUAAUUCGAGCAUGAUGUUUCGUAACGUGUAUAUUUAUUUUCAUAAUUU